rnacentral:rRNA from 1 species
AUGUAUCCAUUCCACAAAUUAGUGGUGUACAGCAGAAGUAUAGACUGUACUUAUCAACACUCUCAAAAUCGAUCACCUUACCAUGAUCGCCUCGACUUAUUCUCAAACCAUGUAAAUUGCACAAUUCUUAGCCUACAUAUCAGAACUGCAAAACAGGAAUUGCCGUCUCGAAUUUCUCUCUGUUUGUAUGAUUCUACUGUACCAUUAGAGCAUCAUCAUGGCGUUCCAACCUAUAUUUUCCUUCAAAAGAAAGGGAGCAAAUGCCUACCUUAUUUGGUGAUGAUUCCAAAUCCGCUGCACUCACAGUUUCUCCCCCUCCGCCUCUGUUUCCGUCUUCUCUGUCACGGGCUCAGCCUCUGCCUCUGCUGCUGCUUCCACCUCCUUGGUCGCCGAGAUCGGCAUUGUCAAAUUGGCGCUGAAUUUGUCGCCGGCGAUCGCCUGGCAGCGCUCGAGCAUCGACUCCGACUCCGCCGCCCUGCCCAGAACAGAGUACAGAACGUACUGGCAGAACAGGGGGCGGUAGUCGCCGGGGUCCUCCCGCGCGAGCUCCUCGAAGGCGGCGAUCGCCUCGUCGGCCUUGCCGUCCACGAAGAGCGUCUGCGCUGCGAGGAGCCGAGCAUAGUCCUCGCCGCCUCCGGCGGCGGAGAGGCGGGCCCGCGCGGCCUCCGCGCCGCUGACAUGGGAGAGGGCGGCGGUCUCGAUGAUGAGCUUCUCGAAGAGGUGGGAGUCGUCCUGGAUGGCGUCCUCGGGCGAGACCGUGACGGUGGGCGCGGGGGGCGGAGGCGGGGGCGGCGUGCACGCGAUGGCCGGGGAGGUGGCCGCGAGGAGGACCGCGGCGGAGGCGGCGAGGCGGAGGGAGGAGAUGAUGGGGUGGCGGGGAACCGAAUUCGAAUUGGUGGUGGCCUUCACGGCCGUGGGUAG